GCUGGCUUAUAAGAUCCCUUAAGUAUUGCAUAACUUUGAUAUGUUGAUUUCUAUGUACAACCAAAUCUAUUUUGUAUUUCAGGGAAACUGACCUCAGGUGUGAGUAAAACUGUAGGAAUCACAGUUGUUGUUCUGGUUGUCAUCCUCUGUCUCUCUGGAUUCAUCUGGUUCAGAAGGAAGACAUCCAAAUCCACUGCUGAUACCAGAGACACAGCAGACAAUAUACAGACAGACUCCAGUCCUGUGUAUGAAAACAUAUCAGAUAUGGUCAUGACCUCUACUGAAGCACAGACAGCAGACACAGACAACCAGGAUGACCUUCACUAUGCCAGCAUCCACUACUCUUCCUCCAGGAAACAGGAAGUACCUCUGUACUCCACCGUCCUACUGUCUCAACCCCAUAAACAGGAAGUCCAGUUGGCUGCAGUGAAAUUCAACUGUCCCAGUGCUGC